AGGCCAGUUUCCUGUUUUCUCUAACUCCUGGGAGCCCCUGGGACCCCAGCACAGCCAGGGGUGGCUUGACAUAGAAGAGGGAGGGGCACACAAAGGUCAGCAUCUGGGGUCACAGUGGAUGGGCCCAGGAUACUAAAGAGUAAGGAAGAGGAAGGAGUUUAGCUUUAUAUUCGGCUUCGUCUGGAAUGAGUCCUGUGACCUGAGUGCAGUAAGCCACUCGUGUCUCCCAGGAACACAACCCGACUACAUGGUGUGACAGAUACCAGACCUACUCACUGGAACUCACCUGACCGAUCAGCGUGGUUCAGGGACCUUAUACCUGAAUGAUCAGGCAUGCCUGAAUGUGCGGUCACUGACAGGCUCUGCCCUCCUCCAGCAUACUUCCGGCUCUUAUAAGAAAUCAGAGUCAAACAGAAGUGCAUCUGCCUUUGGCCAUCUGGACUCUGCAGAGUGAUGCAUCCAAGGAGAGGGACUUCACCCAAAGCUCGAGUCCUGGUACCUGGCCAUCAAGAAGGAUCUCCCCAAAUGCCACCCGCUUGAUUAGGGAUCAAGCGCCUUUCAGAGUCUAGGGGACACUGGAACGCCAGCUUUCCCUUUUCCUGGUGCCACCCACUGUGAGGGCUGAGAGAGGAGACAGAUGAACAAGUUGCCUCCGGAGAAUCUGCAAAGUCAGGCAGAGAGAAUCUCAGGACUCCAAGAUAGGAAAUUCUUGAGCAGGAAGUCACCACUCUCCGAGCUAUAUCGAGCCUCUCCUCGGGCCAGAGCAAGCUCCGCGUCCUUUUUGCUUGUCUGAAUAUCUGAUGCUGUUGGAAAGCAGCACGUGGGUCAGGAGACCUGGGGGCAGCUUCUAGCUCCAAGGCACAGAAUUAGGAAGGAGUAAGAUCAAAGAGCAUCCCUAAGGGUCUCAAACAGGCUGGUGCUGGGAGGGGGAGGCUGGUGGAGGGGGAGCUGACCCCAGCCAGGCACCGGCCUUAUCCCAACCACCCCACCUCACUAUCCAAAACUCAA